rnacentral:tRNA from 1 species
AGCGGAGUGGAGCAGCCUGGAGUGCUCGUCGGGCCCAUAACCCGAAGGUCGGCAGUUCAAAUCUGCCCUCCGCUA